UCCGAACAUUGUGCUCUAGAAUUCAGAGGGAAUUUAGAACGUCGGGUGGCUGGUUCAUUCUACUCCUAUGUGUUCAAGCGCCAACACGGGUUUUGGCUGUACCUUCGAUUUCAGCACUAUCUAGCAUUGGUCAGCGGCACUUCCAGUUACGAGAUAGGAAAAUAACAAUUAUGCAAACUAAACCAUUUGUAUGGAUUAACGCAAAGACAUUUAAAAUCUAGGCUAGCCGACUGCUUGAAAUCAUACUAUCUUUCGGAGAAGGUGUAUUGCUAAGAAUGUUAGUAAACCACUCCCAUGAAGCGAUGGACAACGAGGAUGUACUUGAUUGUUUCGUUUCUGUGAAACCGAAAGUAAAAUAUCGACUUGAGGUGAGCAACUGAAAAAACUGUUUGAUAUUCAUUGUUGAAGUAUCCAGCAGCAAAGACAGAUGAUGGAGAAAGAGAACCAACAUAGACCAUUAAUCAUGAGCUAUAGAGACGCCCUUCAAACACAACCAAACAAAGUAAGGACUUCUGCUAGACCAGCAGCCCCUACUACUGCCCAGAACAGUUACCUGACCAGACUGAAGAGCAGCCUGCAUGACCUGAUGAACCAGCACCCAGAGGGAGUACCCCUGUCCCGUAUGAGUCAGGCCUGUUCUCUCCUCCUGCACCCGGAGGUACUUAAGCCCUACCCCUCCACCAGGUACCUCUUGGCCUCCCUCCCCGAUGUGGUGAGGCUUCAGGGGAUCGGGGUACAGACACUGGUGCUCCCAGCACUAAACCAUUGUGGAGGUGGGACCGAUGCUGGUCGUGUUGGUUGUCGCUAGCCUUCUCGACCUAUGCCAAGCAGGGACCAGGCCGUCCGCAAAGAGACUGAUUUCAAGAUUCCAAUCAAAGCCAAGACAAUGGUAGAACCUCAAAUGUACACAGCCCAUAACGAUAUCAGGGAAAAGCAUUAGGGAAGUCUACAUACAAGACAUUGGCGUGUCUUACAAGACGGGAUACACACAAUCAACACAUUCUUACCAUGAAAGCACACACCUGUGAAUUACAGAUUGAUGAUUUUUUACAUUUUUAGACUGUGGCAAUACAAUUCAUUCAAUUAUUUUAUAUUUAUGAUACAGCAUGGCAAACAAGAUUUCACUUUAAAGUGUACAUGUUUGAACAUAGAUACUUUGUACCCAAUUUUAUUCAUAAUUGACAGAUUUUAGACAAGUAAACCUAGAACAGUACAUAAACCAAUCAUUGUUGUACAGCGUCAAUUUGAUUCUAUUUUUCUUAGGUAAUUACUUUAUUUUUGAUAGAGUGAUAACUAAUUAUUAUAUGGUAAAGUAUGUAGCUUUUCUAAACAUUUAAAUAAAACAUUCUGAAAAACAUG